UACGAAGGGGGCUAGCGUUGCUCGGAAUCACUGGGCGUAAAGGCGCGUAGGCGGCCGUUCAAGUCGGGGGUGAAAGCCUGUGGCUCAACCACAGAAUUGCCUUCGAUACUGUACGGCUCGAGACCGGAAGAGGUGAGUGGAACUGCGAGUGUAGAGGUGAAAUUCGUAGAUAUUCGCAAGAACACCAGUGGCGAAGGCGGCUCACUGGUCCGGUUCUGACGCUGAGCGCGAAAGCGUGGGGAGCAAACAGG
rnacentral:rRNA from 1 species